CCGAGUCAACCCGUAGAUCCGAACUUGUGUUCAGAUUUUUGAGUAUCACAAGCUCGUGUCUGGGGUGGACGCUGU
rnacentral:pre_miRNA from 21 species